rnacentral:lncRNA from 1 species
UGCGCUUAUUCAUGCCACGUCGUAUCAACGGUACGGCCACACAAAAAAUGAGACGAGCCUGGUAAAAAUUGGUAGGCCAAGGGUAACGUAGGCACAGCGCCCAACUGAGACUCAAUAAUACACUGUUCGACCUCUACAAGUUGACAGAAAAAUCCUGUUAUGCAUAUCUACGCAUAAAUUAUACGUUCUGUGUAGGGCCUAAAUCAAGGGAAGUUUUGCUGGCUUUUGGCGGACGGAGGGCUUCCAAACAUGAGUUUUGCUGAUGCGUCAGUUUGACUUCCGUAGUCCCGGAUAUCGACAAUAUUGCAGGGAGCUGAGCUGAGCGGUUUGAGCAAUUGACUAUCGACGUGUUCAUUUUUUGGAGCCGAGUCAGAGAAAAACAAACUAAAUUCAUUGGAAUCUAAGCCAAAUCUAAUUUUCGAAGAUGGCUCGUAUCCACGUUACAACAUUCAUAACGAUAUGUCUGGUUGCUCUGAUGGUCUACGUGCUUUACUUCCACGUUCCAAGGUCCACCUCUGCAGAUGCAGUGCCUGAGAUCAAAGAUGUCAACCAUGAGACUCGACACAGUGUGCAGCGUGACCUGAGUAAGAAUAGUUCAUCCAAUGGCACCAUCAAUGUCUUGAUCUGUUCAGAUGGUUCCACUCUUGGAGGGAUGGUUGCAGCUAUGAAUAGCAUCUAUCUCAAUUCUAGGACACAUAUCAAGUUCUAUCUGGUGGUUGAUACAGAUUCUUUGGAUCAUCUAAGCAAAUGGCUCAGUCAGUCCAGUUUGAGAAAGCUAGACUACACCAUCAAAGUUUUUGAUGAGUCUUGGGUCAAAGAUAAAAUAGUUUUGAAGGAUAAAAGAACAGAAUUGGGAUCACCGCUGAACUAUGCCCGCUUGUACUUCCCCAAGAUAUUCCCUGGUCUGACUGGACGUGUGAUCUUCGUCGAUAGCGAUACAAUCACCCAGGGUGAUAUCGCAGAGUUAAAUGCUAUUGAUAUCAAACCAGGGCAUGUGGUAGCAUUUUCAGAUGACUGCAGUGCUGUCACUUCAAGAUAUGGUGUUAUUAUGAACCGGUAUGCCAGCUACUUGAACUUUGGGAAUGAGAAGCUUCAAUCUCUUGGUAUCAACCCAAUGGAAUGUUCCUUUAAUCCGGGUGUCUUUGUAGCUAAUGUAGAUGAAUGGAGGAAACAGAAUAUCACAGCCAAGCUAGACUACUGGGUUACAGUCAACUCAAAAGAGGAUGUGUAUGGAAGUCAACGUGGCGGUGGUCAUUCUGGUCCUCCAAUGAUGAUUGUGUUCUACAUGAAGUAUUCACCUCUUCCUCCUGAAUGGCACAUCCGUCAUCUAGGUGUUACUACCGGUGCACGAUACUCAGAUGCAUUCUUAAAGGCCGCUAAGCUGCUUCAUUGGAACGGUCGCUUCAAACCAUGGGGUCACAACUCUCAACACACUCUCAUCUGGGAGAAGUAUUAUGUGCAUGAUACUACUGGGGACUUCCAGAUUGCUAGACGUUAUGGGAAUGUUUAAAGGAAGAAAAGCUCUCCUUUGUUUUGUAGUUUAAACAGACAGUAAAGGAUCGUGUGUAAUGUCUCUGUUUUAUGUGAACUAAAGUAGAAUACAGAGCAUCUGAUCAGCUGAAUAGCAUCGUAAUCAAUUAAAAGUGAAAAAACAGCCAGCUCACAGGUCUUGUAAUUUAACUUACAGAAAACAAUCAAUACUAAUUGUACACAUUUGUCGGGUUCUAAAAGGUUCAAAAAGACAUUACCUUGUGCCAUUCUGCAGGGGUUUUGUUCCAGUUGUCUUAAAAAGUUUGGCACUUAUGUACUCUUGCAAACAUCCCAGAUGUAUAUAAUUUCACUUAUUAUUUCAAAGACCCAAUUCAAAAUCUAUUGAGCCAGAUAAACUGGGCUUAAUUUCUAAAUAGAAAUAACACAAUAUUGUACUACACAAUACAAGAUUGAAAAUUAUCAAAUGGACCAGACAAAAUGUUAAGGAAAAUGAUGAAAGUAAUACUUGUGUGUUGUUAAAUUUUCUGUCAUAUGUGUACACCUUUUACGGAACACAAAAAUUAUCAGAUACCUUUGACUUCUCCUUCAUAUUAAGAUACCUGCUGCCUAGGUCAGGUCUCAUUUACCCUUUGGACAAUGUGUCAAAAAAUGUAAUACCAGUAAUAAACAAGUUGACAUUUUCCUGCAGAGCUAUUCAUAAUUUUUCUUUAUAGGCAGGUUAUUUACUAGCAUCGCUACCACUGCUUUAAUGUAUUUUCAAUUGCGUCAUCUUUCAGUGAAGGUGUAUAUAUAGAGCGAUUUCCAGUUCCUGUACCAAUGACUCAUCAUGUUGGCAUCAUCAGUUGAUGAUGCAUUGUGGGGCAUUUCAGUUAAUGCAUAGGGACAUUGUGAGUAGCGAAUGGCAGUAUGAUUGUGUAAAGUCUCAGGUAGUGGCAGUAGACUACCCUGCCUUUAAACAUUCAGGGUUGACUUUCCUUACAUUCUUAAUCAAAAGAUUCAAGUACAAGUAUAAAGUGGCUAGAUCAAUAAAAAGGCAGCUUAAAAUCAACAACUAAGAACUCUUAUCCAUUACUGACCCAAUAUAAAUAAUGAACACCUGCAGUACCUUUAGAGAUCUCAGUGCACAUUCAGUUUUCAUCAUUUAAUUAUUAAAUGGGGUCUUAAAGUGGACUUUUGUCACACCAGCGGCUCUUUUUUAUGAUAUCCUUUUUAACAAGUUUGACAUAUUCUUCAAGUUUGUACUAUUAGUCCAUUAUCUUGUAAAAAGAAGAAAACAAAUAUUUACAUUAACCCUUUAUUAAUGCCACGCAAGUUAUCUCCCUGUGCCACAUUGUAUUUAUCAUGUGAUAGAUAUACCAAAGGCUUCGAGGUUAUUUGAUAAUUUUUAGUGCAAAAUAAAUCUAUAACAUUGUCGAAAGGAUUGUCAUUGAGCUAAUCAAGAUGGGAAAUGGGUAACUUUUAAAAGCAAUUACGUUGCAAUCCUUCCCUCAUUUGGUGCCUAUGAUUUUGUGCAAGACUGCAUGUCUGGCAAACGAGCAAUCGUGCAGAGAGAGGCAAAGAAAGCAACAAAAAUGUUUAUAUAAUUGCUUGUAUUUUACUCACUUAUUCUAGGCAUGCAAGUUCUGAACAUGUAAAGGAUAGAAGUCUUUAAAUAGUGGUUUACAAUUAGUGUCAUACAUGUACAACUAAUUCUUUUUUCACAAUGUAUAUAGUGGUAAAUGAUCUUGUGUAUGAGCAGUCCACUACAAAUCUAACAUUGAUUACCUAUUUGACUUUUGAGAUUGUUUGUUUUGUUUUAAGGUUUAUUUUUCCAGAAGAAAUCAUGAUUCUGAAAUUCUUGACUAUGGGAUCUGGUUAACUCUACUUGUAUAUGUUGAAUAUGUGUUGUCUUUAUCAUUUCAUUCUCAAACUCAAGCACACACAAUAUGGUAAACCACAAUGGCAAAAUAUGAGUUGGCGAUUGGGGGUGAGAAAAAAAGCGUCUGUCUGAAACAAAGAUACCUGUGCAUUCUCAUGUGUGAAUUAUAUCAUAGAGGGUACUCAAAUGUGAGAGACACAUUCCACUUUAUUAUGUCUCUUUUUUUUAUCCAGGAUAAUAUCUCUUUGUAGGUAUUUCGUAGCUGUUUUACCUUGUCAUUUGGGAACAAGGCUGAAGAGGCUUAAUUUCUUCCAUAUUGCAAACUUUGCAAAGUAGCUCUAAAUGUGUGAGAUUUUUGGUGCUUGUGUACAUGUAUGUGCUUCCUUUGAUCAAACUAAUGCAAGGUAUGUGUUGUAAAAUAUAGAGUAGGUUAUGAAAGAUUUAUUUGUACUUCAGUAGACUUUGCUAAUCACUCUUUGAUUCUGCUUAUCAUAAGUUAUCAAAUAUAAGAUAUUUUAAAUCAUGUUGUUCAUUGAUUAAAAAAAAAUUAUUUACCAGUUAAAAGAUAUUCCACUUCAAACUUUUAUUACUAUGAUAUUGCUACUGUAUUGUACUUAAUAUUGGCAUGUACAAUUAACUCCAUUUGUGUAGCUCCUGUGAAAGACCAUUUUCUAAAUACCAACUCUAUGUAAGCAACUCAUGUGGCAUUUAGAUUGGUGUUAUAUACUAUAUACAGCGUAGAUGUAUAAAUAUAUAUUUUUUCUAAUUUUUAAUCACAACUGCCAUGUAAAAGUAAAAGUAUACAAAUAUUUAUUUUGCAUGUUAAGAGAAAUAUUAAUACUUUUUCAUCUGAAAUAUCAUCCAAGACUAAAUCAUAGAAUGUCAUAUUGCAACUUCAUGUACUGGGUCCAUGAUAUUGUGUAAAGCAAAUACUUAACGGGUAAUUGUUAAAUAAAACAUGCCCAAAUUUCUUGCCAAUUUGUGUGAUGUAAGAUAUGCAAUAAUAACAUGCUUGCAAUGCAUGCUCAAAGAAGGUCAGUAUUCAAGGGAGAACAGGUUCAUCCUGCACUGAUGAAUUAUGAAUCACAAUGUAUUAUUCAGAAAGUAUUAUCAGUCCGAAUUCCAUGAAAGUCUGAGUUUCAUAAGUCAAGCUAGUCAUUUAAUUUUCUUUUCUUUUUUCCUUCAGUUUAUGAUGACUGUGUAAAUAUAAAUGUAGAAACCUAUGAUCGAGGAGUUAGGAGUUUCAUUUUGAAAACAUGGUCUUCUUUCAUAGUGUAAUUUGAAAGGUAAAUUUGUAUACAUACCGUAUCAGGUAAUGAACUUCUAAACAACAAUAAUAAUGAUAGUAAUAACACUUCUUUGUGAUCUUGUUUAGAUACAAAUAAUACAUGUACUAAAGGCUUUCCAUUAUCUACAAUGUAUCAUGCAUUCAUUAUAAGAAAUGUUUGGUUAUACUGUCUUCUACAGUAGUUAGUUUUUAACAAGUUUAUUUAACAAUGAUUUUUUUUAAAGAGUGUCAUCAAGGUCUUUUAUGCAAUGUAUUAGUUUACAUUCUAUCAUGAAAAUACUUUUGUGAAGUGUGUAUUGGUGUUUAAGGACACAAGUUAUAAACACAAUAAAAUGACUUUUUAAACAUGAAA